rnacentral:lncRNA from 1 species
AAAGAAAGCUCUCAUGGUUUCAACGGGCUUCAUCUUGGGAUUUCGAGGUCGGUAUGGAACAGACAUGCAGGCAUACGCCUUAACCUUGUCAGGCCUAAACAUGCACAGGUACCACCCGAUCAUUGCACCCCAGUCAUGCGCCACCAGGUACACCGGUUCUCCACCCAGCGAUUCUAUGAGAGCCACCAGGUCACCCACCACAUGGAGACAGGUAUAGCUGGUUGGAGACGGUGGAGCAUCAGUGUUGCCGUAUCCACGGAGGUCAGGGGCGACGCAGUGGUAGCCUAGGGCGGCCAACGCUUGGAUCUGGUGGCGCCAUGUGUACCAGAGCUCCGGG